AGAGUUUGAUCCUGGCUCAGAAUGAACGCUGGCGGCGUGCUUAACACAUGCAAGUCGUACGAGAACUCUUCUGCUUGCAGAAGAUAGUAAAGUGGCGAACGGGUGAGUAACGCGUGGGUAAUCUACCUUCGAAUCGGGGAUAACUCGCCGAAAGGCGGGCUAAUACCGGAUAAUAUCUAUUAUGCUUCGGCGUAUUAGAUCAAAAGUGGCCUCUACAUGUAAGCUGCUGUUUGAAGAUGAGCCCGCGUGCCAUUAGCUAGUUGGUAGGGUAAUGGCCUACCAAGGCUACGAUGGCUAGCUGGUCUGAGAGGAUGAUCAGCCACACUGGAACUGACACACGGUCCAGACUCCUACGGGAGGCAGCAGUGAGGAAUUUUGCGCAAUGGGGGAAACCCUGACGCAGCAACGCCGCGUGAGUGAUGAAGGCUUUCGGGUCGUAAAGCUCUGUCAAGUGGGAAGAAAAUGCUCGAUAUUAAUACUAUCGUGUACUGACGGUACCACUGAAGGAAGCACCGGCUAACUCCGUGCCAGCAGCCGCGGUAAUACGGGGGGUGCAAGCGUUAUUCGGAUUCAUUGGGCGUAAAGGGCGCGUAGGCGGCCUCUUAAGUCAGAUGUGAAAGCCCGGGGCUUAACCCCGGAAGUGCAUUUGAAACUAAGGGACUUGAGUAUGGGAGAGGGAAGUGGAAUUCCUGGUGUAGAGGUGAAAUUCGUAGAUAUCAGGAGGAACACCGGUGGCGAAGGCGACUUCCUGGACCAAUACUGACGCUGAGGCGCGAAGGCGUGGGGAGCAAACAGGAUUAGAUACCCUGGUAGUCCACGCAGUAAACGGUGAACACUAGGUGUAGCGGGUAUUGACCCCUGCUGUGCCGCAGCUAACGCAUUAAGUGUUCCGCCUGGGGAGUACGGUCGCAAGAUUAAAACUUAAAGGAAUUGACGG
rnacentral:rRNA from 1 species